rnacentral:rRNA from 1 species
CACACGACCGUACCGCAAACCGACACUGGUGCGCGAGAUGAGUAUUCUAAGGCGCUUGAGAGAACUCAGGAGAAGGAACUCGGCAAAUUGACACCGUAACUUCGGAAGAAGGUGUGCCUUUAGUAGGUGAAGUCCCUCGCGGAUGGAGCCCAAUGAGGUUGCAAAGAAUCGGUGGCUGCGACUGUUUAUUAAAAACACAGCACUCUGCAAACACGAAAGUGGACGUAUAGGGUGUGACGCCUGCCCGGUGCUGGAAGAUUAAAUGAUGAGGUGCAAGCUCUUGAUUGAAGUCCCAGUAAACGGCGGCCGUAACUAUAACGGUCCUAAGGUAGCGAAAUUCCUUGUCGGGUAAGUUCCGACCUGCACGAAUGGCGUAACGAUGGCCACACUGUCUCCUCCUGAGACUCAGCGAAGUUGAAAUGUUUGUGAUGAUGCAAUCUCCCCGCGGAAAGACGGAAAGACCCCAUGAACCUUUACUGUAGCUUUGUAUUGGACUUUGAGCAGAUCUGUGUAGGAUAGGUGGGAGGCUUUGGAGCAGGGUCGCUAGGUCUUGUGGAGCCAACGUUGAAAUACCACCCUGGUGUGUUUGAGGUUCUAACCUAGGCCCGUAAUCCGGGUUGGGGACAGUGCAUGGUAGGCAGUUUGACUGGGGCGGUCUCCUCCCAAAGUGUAACGGAGGAGUUCGAAGGUACGCUAGUUACGGUCGGACAUCGUGACGAUAGUGCAAUGGCAUAAGCGUGCUUAACUGCGAGACUGACAAGUCGAGCAGAUGCGAAAGCAGGACAUAGUGAUCCGGUGGUUCUGUAUGGAAGGGCCAUCGCUCAACGGAUAAAAGGUACUCUGGGGAUAACAGGCUGAUACCGCCCAAGAGUUCAUAUCGACGGCGGUGUUUGGCACCUCGAUGUCGGCUCAUCUCAUCCUGGGGCUGUAGCCGGUCCCAAGGGUAUGGCUGUUCGCCAUUUAGAGAGGUACGUGAGCUGGGUUUAAAACGUCGUGAGACAGUUUGGUCCCUAUCUUCCGUGGGCGCUGCAGAUUUGAGGAAGCCUGCUCCUAGUACGAGAGGACCGGAGUGGACGCACCUCUGGUGUAUCGGUUGUCACGCCAGUGGCAUUGCCGAGUAGCUAUGUGCGGAAGAGAUAACCGCUGAAAGCAUCUAAGCGGGAAACUCGUUUCAAGAUGAGAUCUGCCGGGGCCUUGAGCCCCCUGAAGAGUCGUUCAAGACCAGGACGUUGAUAGGUCGGGUGUGGAAGCGCAGUAAUGCGUUAAGCUAACCGAUACUAAUUGCUCGUGCGGCUUGACCCU